rnacentral:rRNA from 1 species
UACGUAGGGUGCGAGCGUUAAUCGGAAUUACUGGGCGUAAAGCGUGCGCAGGCGGUGAGCUGUGUCCGAUGUGAAAGCCCCGGGCUUAACCUGGGAAUGGCAUUGGAAACUGGCUCGCUGGAGUGUAGCAGAGGGGGGUGGAAUUCCGCGUGUAGCAGUGAAAUGCGUAGAGAUGCGGAGGAACACCGAUGGCGAAGGCAGCCCCCUGGGCUAACACUGACGCUCAGGCACGAAAGCGUGGGGAGCAAACAGG